ACACUUGUACUGAGCUAUGCCAACUUCUGUAGUUCACAGUGUUUUGUGAUUUUACCAAAGCUUCAUCAACCACUAAACAGCCUAACCUAUCCUGCUAAGUCCUUCUCUCACCUCCAUUAUUUUUUCUAACCUCUCUCUCCUCUCUCUAACAUAUACAUAUACACUUUCACCACUCUUAUAUGGUGCCCUGUUCUUCUUUGGACAUUCCCCAGAAAUGAGAAAUGUCUCUCAUUUUCCUGUAGAUGUCAGACUCUAGGCUUCUUAUUCUGAAUUUGAGGCUUCAUCUGAAAUGGCUUUGCUUAGAGUUUCAUGGGCUGUUUUGUUUCUUUGGGUUUUCUCAGUUUUGUGCUUAGAGGCACAGUCUGAUAGUUCAGAGGUCUCUCUUAAGUUCUUGAAAGCUCCUCAUGCAUUUUCUCAUCUGAACUCAGCCACAUUUGCAUUUGAAGCUUUGGUUGGUGGGAAUGCUAGCACAUGCACCAAUUGCAGUUUCAGUUGCAAGCUAGAUGAUGGCAUUGGUUCGAAUUGUGGAACUGGGAAAGUUUUGUACUCAGGAUUGCAGGAUGGAAAGCAUACAUUUGAUGUCUGCACCAAUGGGACUCAAGGAGCUGGUUGUGCCUACUAUAACUGGACUGUUGAUACAGUACCCCCAACAGCAUCUGUUACUGCCUCAAGAUCUUUUACAAAUGCUACGAGUGUAUCAGUAAAUAUUUCUUUCAGUGAAUCCUGCAACGGCGGAGGAGGUUUUGGAUGCUCAUCUGUGAACACCUGCAACCUGCUAGUCUAUGGUGCUGGCGAAGUUAUACCAUCUUCACUUAAUAUUCUGGAGCCAAACCUCAAAUAUUCUCUUGAUGUGGGUUUAUCAUCUUCUGUUCACUAUGGACGAGUGAUCCUGGUAAUGGAUAAGAACUUCUGCUCUGAUGUUGCUGGAAACAGAUUCGUAAGAACCAAAAAUUCACGUUUCUAUGUACGCAUUGAUAGAAGACCUGUCUUUUCCAACCUGAGGAUUCAUAUUCCUGAAACACUGCUUCAGUUAAAUGGUGAAACUCGAACAGUGCAGGCGACUAAUAAUCAUAAUAACUUAAAGAUGUAUCUAUAUUUCUCAGAACCUGUCCUGAAUACAUCUGCACAAAUUUUAAACACUAUCAACAUAAGUCAGGGCUUACUUUUACCGGAUAGCACAAAGAACUCUGGAAAUCGCAGAUUUGGCUUUGCGGUUUCAAACACAUCUAGCAUUGCUAUAAUCACGGUGAGCCUCGAUUCAAAUUUGAUAAUAACCAGACAAGGGACUCCAGUUUCUCCAAUUUCACCAGCAACUUUCCUUUUCGAUUCUCAAAGGCCUGCAGUGAAGUUGAGUACAACCUCAAGCAUGAGAACAAGAGAAGACACUAUUUCUAUAUUAAUAAAAUUCAUGAAGCCUGUAUUUGGUUUCAACUCUUCUUCUUUAGCACUCUCAGGAGGGCAUUUACAAAGCUUUUGUGAAGUAAGUAGGAGUAUGUACACUGUCAAUAUAGAAGCAAUUAAUGAUAUUGUUUCGGUCAAUGUUCCUGAAAAUGUAACUGGGGAUGUUGCUGGAAACAAAAAUCUAGCAUCAAAUGUUCUUCAAGUAUCACACUAUUCAGUGCCCAUGAUAUCUUCUCUGGUAUUUGCAUUUGUGACUGCUCUUUUUGCAUUGACAUCCAUAACUGCGGGGCUGCUUUCUAUUUCAACUGCAAGCCUUCAAUCCCUUUGGACAUUUAGGAGAGCAUCUUCUUUGGCAUCUCAUCCAGCAAGAAAUCUUUUCAGAAUUGCUUGUCAUAUUCAAAUCUUUGCACUCUCUAGAUGGUUGGCAGUUACAUUGCCAGUUGAUUAUUAUGAAUUUGCAAGGGGUUUACAAUGGAGUAUUCCUCACUUUAAUCUCCCAUGGGAAGCUGGGCAAAGCUUCCAAGCCUCAAUUCCUUCCACCAGCUCAAAGUCCUACAGGACUGAAGGCUAUGAUUCAGAAAUUUUCAAAAGCAUGCAACUAGAAGAAGAGAGUUCUAAUAAGGUUACUUCAGUAUAUGGGUUGCCACUUACUCCAAUGGAAUACAGAAUGUUUUUUGAGUUGGAGGGUGAAAAUAUUAAACCUGAAGCCGAAUAUCUCUCCAGUUCUUAUAACUCGAACAGGUGGAGGAAUUUCGAUCGAAGCAUGUUCUGGUUAGCGGUGAUUAGUGGUAGUUUGAUCCUAGUACAUGUUUUACUCCUUUUCAUUCUGAAACUGAGGAAGAAAAGUUCUGAGAGACAGAGCGGUUAUGGAGCACUCACAUUCCCAAGAUUUGAGAUAUUUCUUGUAAUUCUUGCAUUACCUUGUAUUUUUGAGGCCUCAGCUGCACUAGUUAGAGGAGGAGCGUCAUCUGGAGUUAUAGUUGGCAGUCUCUUGUUGGCUGUCACGUCUUUUCUGCUGCUAGUCUUGUUCCUUUUCCUCUCAAUUGGCAUUACAUUUGGAAAGUUACUUCAAUACAAGGAAGUACAUCAAGAAGGCCAGAAAUUUCUCUGGUUUCAAGAUAUUGUCCGAGUGACACUGGGUCCGGGAAAAAGAGGUCAGUGGACAUGGAAAAAAAAACCAAGCUCUGUAUAUCUAAUCAUUUUUGGCCCUCUCUUUGAAGAUCUCAGAGGCCCCCCAAAGUACAUGCUCUCUCAGAUUUCUGUGGGCAAUGCUCGCAAGCAAGGUGAGCGUAUUAUUGACUCUGAUGAUGAAACAGAAGAUGCAGAAGCACCUUUUAUCCAGAAGGUGUUUGGAAUACUCAGAAUAUACUACACACUAUUAGAAUGUUUGAAAAGGGUUUUUGUUGGGAUCAUGGCUGGUGUCUAUAUGGACAGAUGGAACUCUAAAACUCCUUCAAUUACCUUAUUGUGCAUAACCUCUUUUCAACUUUUCUUCCUCGUUCUUAAGAAGCCGUUUAUCAAGAAAAAGGUUCAGUUGGUUGAGAUCAUCUCGGUUUCCAGUGAAGUAGGUUUAUUUGCAACUUGCUUGGUUCUCUUGGAGAAGGAUUUUUCAGCCAGUGACAGCACUAAAGUUGGUAUUUUCAUGAUAAUACUGUUCUUAGUUGGAUACAUUGCACAGAUGAUUAAUGAGUGGUAUGCAUUGUAUAGACAAACAUUGCUUCUGGACCCAGCCGAGAACUCCUUCUUAACUGGUUUUAAAUUAGCUGUAACUGGCUGUCUCUUGUUAUUCAUCCCGCGGAAUUUGAUCAAUAACUUGGAAAGCAAGUUCCAAGCGAGGCAACAGGUGGUGGAAGCAACAAGGGAUUCUAGCUCUUCUGGGAACCGGAGCUCCGGGAGUAGGGGGACCACUCCAACUGAUAAACCAUGGCUAAAACAGCUGAGAGAGUUGGCAAAGUCUAGCUUUAGUAAAGAAGGAAGUAGUGGAGUUGCAAAUGAUCCUUCGAGUAGUAAUACUCGAGCUAGAUGGAGUGGGUUUUGGAGCAGCAAAAGGAGUGGGAGCUCAUCUCAAAAGUCUUCUAGUGAUUCCAAAUCAAAAUCAAGGUUGUACAAUGACUUGGAGGCUAUUUUUGCAUCCAAGUGAAACAAUUUUUACCCCAAUAGUUAGGUUUACAAUUUCUACUGCCACAGAGAAUACUACUUAUUGCUAGGAAGCCUAGGAUUGAGAUCAUAGGGUUGUUGUUAGGCACAUGACCCUCACAAAAUGAUUGGCAUUGUUUGAAUCUACAUUAUUGUACAGGCAGUCGAUUUCAUAUAUAAAAAAAAGUCAAACUAAGAAGGUGUUUGUUUUCAUCUACGUAUCUGGGCAUGUGUUUUUAUUGGACUGUAAUGUUUAAAAGACUGAUGAACAGCAUGAAGGAACUGCUAACUUUUUGUGAAGUUCAAGCAA